UCCAGACUCCUACGGGAGGCAGCAGUGGGGAAUAUUGCACAAUGGGGGGAACCCUGAUGCAGCAACGCCGCGUGGGUGAAGAAGUACUUCGGUAUGUAAAGCCCUGUCAGCAGGGAAGAAAAUGACGGUACCUGACCAAGAAGCCCCGGCUAACUACGUGCCAGCAGCCGCGGUAAUACGUAGGGGGCAAGCGUUAUCCGGAUUUACUGGGUGUAAAGGGAGCGUAGACGGCAAGGCAAGUCUGGAGUGAAAGCCCGUGGCUCAACCACGGGACUGCUUUGGAAACUGUGUUGCUGGAGUGCAGGAGGGGUAAGCGGAAUUCCUAGUGUAGCGGUGAAAUGCGCAGAUAUCAGGAGGAACACCGGUGGCGAAGGCGGCCUGCUGGACGGUAACUGACGCUGAGGCUCGAAAGCGUGGGGAGCGAACAGGAUUAGAUACCCCCGUAU
rnacentral:rRNA from 1 species